rnacentral:rRNA from 1 species
CCUACGGGUGGCAGCAGUGAGGAAUAUUGGUCAAUGGACGAGAGUCUGAACCAGCCAAGUAGCGUGAAGGAUGACUGCCCUAUGGGUUGUAAACUUCUUUUAUAUGGGAAUAAAAUGUUCCACGUGUGGGAUUUUGUAUGUACCAUAUGAAUAAGGAUCGGCUAACUCCGUGCCAGCAGCCGAGGUAAUACGGAGGAUCCGAGCGUUAUCCGGAGUUAUUGGGUUUAAAGGGAGCGUAGGUGGAUUGUUAAGUCAGUUGUGAAAGUUUGCGGAUCAACCGUAAAAUUGCAGUUGAAACUGGCAGUCUUGAGUACAGUAGAGGUGGGCGGAAUUCGUGGUGUAGCGGUGAAAUGCUUAGAUAUCACGAAGAACUCCGAUGGCGAAGGCAGUUCACUGGACUGCAACUGACACUGAGGCUCGAAAGUGUGGGUAUCAAACAGGAUUAGAUACCCCAGUAGUC